UACCAGCACCCCGAGUGGUCGGGACGUUUUAUUGGGCCUAAAGCAUCCGUAGCCGGUUCUACAAGUCUUCCGUUAAAUCCAACUGCUUAACAGGUGGGCUGCGGAAGAUACUAUAGAGCUAGGAGGCGGGAGAGGCAAGCGGUACUCGAUGGGUAGGGGUAAAAUCCGUUGAUCCAUUGAAGACCACCAGUGGCGAAGGCGGCUUGCCAGAACGCGCUCGACGGUGAGGGAGUGAAAGCUGGGGGAG
rnacentral:rRNA from 1 species